UCUUCCCCUUCUGCUACCACGGCGACGGUGGUAAGAGCUGAAGAACCCUCGUGCGGUUGUCGUCUCUCUUGUGUUUCUACCUCAUAUAUUUGUGGGAUUCCGUUCAGGGUUUGUGAUCCGUGGCCAUCAUGAAUGGAGGAUUUGAUUGGAAUUGUACAUUUUGGCUACUAAAAACUACAUCAAUUUGGCGUGAUGUCGCAGCUAUUUGGGUCGGAAAACGUACCUAGUUAAAGUGAAUGCAGUCAGAUCACCUUUCUUGUUUCGAGCAGAGAUCUCAUAGCUUGGUGUGCCUUCUGUUUGCACGUCGAAUUCGUGCUUUUGAUUCAGUCAAAAUAUCAUCUAAGGUUGCAAGCAAGAAUGCUACCUUUUGCUUUUAUGAGAACAAAAUAUCAAAAGGAUGCGACAACAAAAUCCUAUUGGCAGAACAUGUGACACCAUUUUUCAUGGCUUGACUACCUCUUGGAAGCGCAUUUGGUUGUUUGCGGGGAGAUCUGUAGUUGUUUGAUUAAAUUACAGUGACUGAAUCAUUACAGUGUUUACAUGCUGGACACCUCCUGUCCUCCAUUGCCCUUCAAAUAAAGUGAUUGGUGCAAUCACAGUUCCCCAUGGCCUGACAACACCAGCAGCAAGAGGAUGGGAGGUGGUCUCUUGCAAAUGUAAAUGGAAGGGAUGCCUACUGCACAUAGAAAUGGAACAUGUACGUGUCAGAGAAGGGAAUCGAACUGGAUUAAGAUUAACAGAUUUGCUUUGCAUCUUGUUGGCUCCUGCUCUUUAUUCUGGUGAGUGAUGGAAUCCAAUUAUUGGGCAUUGGUGGCGUACAAACUCCUAAUAUUGUAUUCUAUCAACCUCAAUAAUGUGUACAACCAUUCAUCCUUCAGCCUGAAGGAUCAGAAUGAGUAGGUGAAUGGUUCCUGAUCGAGUCUCAUCUGAUUCUGAUAUCUUGCAGUAGGAUUUCCGAGUGGAAAUGUAUUUGGUACUACAGGAGAUUAUGCAGCGCUAUAUUUUGCACCUUUGCACAGCGUUCUCUGGAUCAGAGCAAGUGACUUGAUCCAUUGUUUGUUUGAUUUAAUAUAUGUUUUGUGGCUGACAUAGAUCUACCAACAACUGGCUUUAACAUUAGCAUUCUGAUCUCAGUUCUUGAGGAUUUCCAUGCUGUCCUCAGGUUGCUCUUCCAGCAUUUGAAUUUGAAUUCCUUCCUUGUUUCCAUCAUGGGCUGCAGCAUCCUUUUCUUUACUAUAUAACUCUGUACCAGCAAGCAGAGGAGAAAAGUUUGGGGACGUUCUCUUCUAAUUUCUCUGCUUUGAGAUGCAGGAAAGCUGCAGUGUUUAUUUUAAUGUUGGACAUCACUGAUGGAAGCAGGGAGGAGAUCAGUAACAAGUGUGACAAGAUUGGAUCUACAGAAACAGGAAUGGGAUGGACAUCCACAUAAACUGACUAAUUGCUAGAGUUAUCCCCUCCUCCUUAUCUCGAUAUGGAUAUAAAGGAUAUACCAUCAAUAUGCAUACAAUGACUCAAAUCUUGAUUUCCUAAGUGGUAAAUUUAGAAGAAGAAAUUGAUAUAUGUCAAUUUUGACAUGGAUCCUAUACAAAGAAAGAAUCUCCAGCUAAAAGAAGACUGUUGACAAGAAGCAAUGGGAUAUCUCUGCAUCAAAGAAUGCAUGUUUAAUGAUGUAUCUAUCCUUUGUACAAAUAGCUUGGCUAUAUGUGUCUUCUAUCUAGACAAUCAUGAAGGUGUCAAGUUUAAGUUUGACUUGUA